ACUGUAGUGUAACCUUUUUGGUUGCUUUGCCAAGCAAAUGAUAUCAAGAACUAAAGGUAGAUGAGAGAUGUAUAGACUGUAGUGUACCCUUUUUGGUUGCUUUGCCAAGCAAAUGAUAUCAAGAACUAAAGGUAGAUGAGAGAUGUAUAGACUGUAGUGUACCCUUUUUGGUUGCUUUGCCAAGCAAAUGAUAUCAAGAACUAAAGGUAGAUGAGAGAUGUAUAGACUGUAGUGUACCCUUUUUGGUUGCUUUGCCAAGCAAAUGAUAUCAAGAACUAAAGGUAGAUGAGAGAUGUCAUCUAUUUGGGCAUGUUUUUGGACUUUGUUAUAAGCUGAGAAAUACCAGCUGUAUUCCAAUCUAAAAACUAUAUUAUAUAAACCAAAAUGUCAAUUGGUCCUGCGAAUGCUACUGUUCUUCUUUAAUUUUAGUUGGACACAUUGGGUGUGAUGUGGUGGG
rnacentral:lncRNA from 1 species